GAUGAACGCUGGCGGCGUGCUUAACACAUGCAAGUCGAACGGUGAAGCAGGAGCUUGCUCCUGUGGAUCAGUGGCGAACGGGUGAGUAACACGUGAGUAAUCUGCCCCUCACUUCGGGAUAAGCCUCGGAAACGAGGUCUAAUACCGGAUACGACCACUUCUUGCAUGAGAUGGUGGUGGAAAGUUUUUCGGUGGGGGAUGUGCUCGCGGCCUAUCAGCUUGUUGGUGGGGUAAUGGCCUACCAAGGCUUCGACGGGUAGCCGGCCUGAGAGGGUGACCGGCCACACUGGGACUGAGACACGGCCCAGACUCCUACGGGAGGCAGCAGUGGGGAAUAUUGGACAAUGGGCGAAAGCCUGAUCCAGCAACGCCGCGUGAGGGAUGACGGCCUUCGGGUUGUAAACCUCUUUCAGUACCGACGAAGCGAAAGUGACGGUAGGUACAGAAGAAGCACCGGCCAACUACGUGCCAGCCGCCGCUGUAACAC
rnacentral:rRNA from 1 species